rnacentral:rRNA from 1 species
AAUUUUUAGUGGCGAACGGGUGAGUAACGCGUAGGCAACCUGCCCUUUAGACGGGGACAACAUUCCGAAAGGGAUGCUAAUACCGGAUGUGACGCUCCUAUCGCAUGACGGGAGCGUGAAAGAUGGCCUCUACAUGUAAGCUAUCGCUAAAGGAUGGGCCUGCGUCUGAUUAGCUAGUUGGUAGUGUAACGGACAACCAAGGCGAUGAUCAGUAGCCGGUCUGAGAGGAUGAACGGCCACAUUGGGACUGAGACACGGCCCAGACUCC